rnacentral:tRNA from 1 species
GCGCCAUUAGUUUAGUGGUAGAACGUGACAUUGCCAAUGUUAAGACGCGAGUUCGAUUCUCGCAUGGCGCA